CACCGCCUGGGGAGUACGACCGCAAGGUUAAAACUCAAAUGAAUUGACGGGGACCCGCACAAGUAGUGGAGCAUGUGGUUUAAUUCGAAGAUACGCGCAGAACCUUACCAACACUUGACAUGUUCGUCGCGGCUCUAAGAGAUUAGAGCUUUCGGUUCGGCCGGACGAAACACAGGUGCUGCAUGGCUGUCGUCAGCUCGUGUCGUGAGAUGUUGGGUUAAGUCCCGCAACGAGCGCAACCCUCACUUUUAGUUGCCAUCAUUUAGUUGGGCACUCUGAAAGAACUGCCAGUGAUAAGCUGGAGGAAGGUGGGGAUGACGUCAAGUCCUCAUGGCCCUUACGUGUUGGGCUACACACGUGCUACAAUGGCAUUUACAAUAGGAAGCAAGAUGGCGACGUCAAGCAAAUCCUAAAAAGAUGCCUCAGUUCGGAUUGUACUCUGCAACUCGAGUACAUGAAGCUGGAAUUACUAGUAAUCGCGGAUCAGCGCGCCGCGGUGAAUACGUUCCCGGGUCUUGUACACACCGCCCGUCACACCAUGGGAGUUGGUUCUACCUUAAGGCAAGGUUUUAAACCCUUGACCACGGUAUAGUCAGCGACUGGGGUGAAGUCGUAACAAGGUAGCCGUAGGGGAACCUGCGGCUGGAUUACCUCCUUUCUAAGGAUGAAUAAGAAUUCGUUCUUAUUCUAAAUAAUAUAACAGGUUAAUGUUGACCGUCCUCAUUUCUCUUCUUGAAAUAGUGUUUCUCUCUUCUACGUAGGGGCCGGUAGCUCAGUUGGUUAGAGCACACCCUUGAUAAGGGUGGGGUCGAAAGUUCGAGUCUUUCUCGGCCCACCAAAUUUACUGGGGGAUUAGCUCAGCUGGGAGAGCGCCUGAUUUGCAUUCAGGAGGUCAGCGGUUCGAUCCCGCUAUCCUCCACCACGAAACACUUAGUUAUUUUAAUUGUGAAAAUUUUUUAUAUUAUCAAUAUCUAUAUCCGAUUGUUCGAAUAGAUGAACAAUCAAUAAAUAUUCGAAAAGAUGAAUAUUUAAUAAAAAUUUGAUUCAACACAGAAUUUUUUUCUG
rnacentral:sRNA from 1 species